AAAUGAAUAGACGGGGGCCCGCACAAGCGGUGGAGCAUGUGGUUUAAUUCGACGCAACGCGAAGAACCUUACCUGGGCUUGAACAGUCGCCGACCGUGGCAGAGACGCCACUUCCCGCAAGGGCGGCGGCAGAGGCGCUGCAUGGCUGUCGUCAGCUCGUGUCGUGAGAUGUUGGGUUAAGUCCCGCAACGAGCGCAACCCUUGCCAUUAGUUGCCAUCGGGUAAUGCCGGGGACUCUAAUGGGACUGCCCGGGUCAACCGGGAGGAAGGUGGGGAUGAUGUCAAGUCCUCAUGGCCCUUAUGUCCAGGGCUACACACGUGCUACAAUGGGCGGUACAGACCGCAGCGAAGCCGCGAGGCGGAGCAAAUCGGAGAAAGCCGCCCUCAGUUCGGAUUGCAGCCUGCAACUCGGCUGCAUGAAGCUGGAAUCGCUAGUAAUCGCGCAUCAGAACGGCGCGGUGAAUACGUUCCCGGGCCUUGUACACACCGCCCGU
rnacentral:rRNA from 1 species